CAGUAGCCGCGGGAAUACAGAGGGUGCGAGCGUUAAUCGGAUUUACUGGGCGUAAAGCGUGCGUAGGCGGCUUUUUAAGUCGGAUGUGAAAUCCCUGAGCUUAACUUAGGAAUUGCAUUCGAUACUGGGAAGCUAGAGUAUGGGAGAGGAUGGUAGAAUUCCAGGUGUAGCGGUGAAAUGCGUAGAGAUCUGGAGGAAUACCGAUGGCGAAGGCAGCCAUCUGGCCUAAUACUGACGCUGAGGAGCGAAAGCGUGGGGAGCGAACAGGAUUAGAUACCCCAGUAGUCCCUGUCUCUUAUAC
rnacentral:rRNA from 1 species